rnacentral:rRNA from 1 species
CCUACGGGAGACAGCAGUGAGGAAUAUUGGUCAAUGGACGGAAGUCUGAACCAGCCAUGCCGCGUGCAGGAAGACGGCUCUAUGAGUUGUAAACUGCUUUUGUACAAGGGUAAACCUGAAUACGUGUAUACAGCUGAAAGUACUGUACGAAUAAGCAUCGGCUAACUCAGUGCCAGCAGCCGCGGUAAUACGGAGGAUCCAAGCGUUAUACGGAUUUAUUGGGUUUAAAGGGUGCGUAGGCUGAUUUAUAAGUUAGCGGUGAAAUGUCAGAGCUUAACUCGGGAACUGCCUCUAAUACUGUUAUUCUAGAGUGUAGAUGAGGUAGGCGGAAUGUAUGGUGUAGCGGUGAAAUGCUUAGAGAUAAGACAGAACACCGAUUGCGAAGGCAGCUUACCAAUCUAUAUCUGACGUUGAGGCACGAAAGCGUGGGGAGCAAACAGGAUUAGAUACCCUUGUAGUC